CUCUCGUCCCGGCCACUGCAGCCUGCAGUCAAAGAGUGCAGCGCCUUCUCAGCAGGUUUCUCUACCUUACUGUCCAGGGCUGCAUCUGCCGGAGCCACCGCGCUGGUCAUUUUCUAAAGGGCUCUUGUAAUCCCAGCUGGAGCUUGGUAGGGGGUGGGUCACGUGCCCAGGAGAAGGGCUGGAGGUGGAAUCUCUCGGGAGACUUCUGCUCCUUCCUCAGAGUCCCAGCAGCCGGCAUUGACAGCAAUCGUCACAGCAAUGGGGUGUUCCAGCAGCACCCAAACGCAGUCCCAGGAGAGCAGCAGGCCAGUGACCAAGACCGGUGUUACCAACGGACUGAAGCAAAGCGAUGGAAACUCUUCAAUCCCACAUGAAAAUGAAAUUUGCCUCGACAAGACAAAACAGUGUGCAGUGGAAGCAAAAGUUGAUGUUAGUGACAAAACAGGACCAAUCAACCACCUUCUAGCUGGGGAGCCCAGAGUUGUGAAGCCAUUAGCAACUGAUGGUGCUAGUUCCACCUGUGAAGAGGAACAUCCUGAGAAGGCAGAGUCUCCAGGCUCUGAGGAAAAAGCUCAAGCAGAGUAUCUGAAAUCAACAGAUAAAGCUAAGAAUCCAGGAGCAUCCGAGGAGUCUGUGCCACCCAUAUCUGCUGGAAAAAACGAACUUCCAGGAACAGAUGAAAAGGAUAACAGGGAAAUUGAGAAAGGCGCUCAGCCUGUAGGAAAUUUUGUCGAGACUGAAAUAUUUGGAACUAUAAAGGAGAUUAAACCACUGAUAACAGCUAGUGAAGUAGAACCUAUGGAAACAGGAGAACAUAAUGAGCAUCUAGGAGUGGCUGAAGAAGUUGAGCCCCAAAGAACAACGAAGGAGAAUAAGCACCUGAUAACAUCUGAAGAGGCUGAACCUCAAGAAACAGUGGAAGAUACUCAGCAUGUAGAUACUGAUAGAAAGACAGGAGUGUCAGAGGAGAACGAUUAUGUGGGAACAGCUGGUGAGACUGAAACUUCAGGAACACUGGAAGAGACUGAACAGGAGGGAAUAGCUGGAAAGACCAAAACUGCAGGAACAUGUGAAGAAACUGAGCAUGAGGAAACAGCUGGAGAAACUGAACCUUCAGGAACACAUGAAGAGGCUGAGCAUGAGGAAACAGCUGGAGAGACCAAACCUUCGGGAGUGAUGGAAGAGGCUGAGCAUGAGGGAACAGCUGGAGAGACCAAACCUUCAGGAACAAUGGAAAAGGUGACUCUGGUAACAGGUGAAAAGAACAACUUUCAGGGAACAGUUGAAGACAAUGAAUUUCCAGAAAUACUUGGGGAGGUUCAGCCUCUUGGAGCUCCUGGAAAGAACAACUACUCCAGAACAGCUAGAGGCACUGAACCUCCUGAAAGAGUGGAGAAGACUCAGUUGGUAGAAACAGUUGGAGGCACUAAACCUCCCAUAAUAGCUGAAGGGACACAGGAAGACAUGAAGCCAUGGAUGGAAGUAGCCAGGGAAAUUAACAUGAAUGAAGAGAACCAAGCAAUUGAAGGUGAGACGGGAGAAAGGGUGGAAACUGAGACGCACAGUGAGAUAGUGAGUGAGGGCUCUGAAACAAAGGAAGAAGAAACGGGAGAAGCUGUGGAUACUGCUGCAGCCACAGAGAUGGGUACGUUGGCAGAAGGGUGAAGGGCUACACCCCGCUUGCACUGAGAAGACAGGAGAACCUUAGCGAGGCUUAUUAGCACAUUUCUUAUCACCCUUCUAACUUUUGCUUUUAUUGCAUAUUUUUGUACAACCUUAGGUUCCAUAAAAUCUGAUAUUCUGUUCAAGCUGGAGUCCAGCCCCUUCAUUUUAUAGAUAAGGAAUCUGAGGCCUGGGGAGGUGAAGUGACUUUGCCCACAAUCAUGCAGGUAAUAGCAGAACCAACUCCCGGUCAUUGAUGUCCUAAUUCUUGACCUACCCGGUCUAGUCCCUCCACCUUGUUAAUGUUUGUACAACGGUGAGAAUGGUGCUAUCACGCCUUUUUUAUGCAGUCUUGUUUAGACUUGUUCCUAAAACUGCCAAGGCAAUUUAAAUUAUUUAAAAAUAACAAAAAAUUCAUACGUAGACCACAGGAUCGUAAAACUUCAGCACUAGAAGCAGUCUGAGAGAUCUCUGAUUCUGAGACUCAGAGAAUUAGCACUUACUUGAGAUCAUAUAGUUAGUGAGUGGCAGAGCAAGGAUUUAAUCCUAAAGAAAGAAUCCUUGUUAAUUAUUUAUUGAAGCAGUUAGGUGGUAUGGUGAAGGGAGUGCUGGACUUGGAGUUAGAAAGACCUGAGUUCAUCUCCUGCCCCAGACAUGCCUAUUUAUCUGUGUGACACUGGGAGCAAGUCACUUAACUUUCCAGCCUCGGUUUCCUCACCUGUAAAAUGGAAAUAACAGCAGCACCUACCUCACAGGAGUGUUGUGAGGAUCAAAUGAGAUAUUAUGUGUAUGUGUGUAUGCAUAAAACACUUUGAAAACUAUAAAGGGCUAUAUAAAUGUUAGCUAUUAUUAUUAUUUUCUCCACAAAUUUAUCUAUCCAAUCUUGGUAAUCAGUGCUCAUUCACCAAAUGUAAAGGGAAAAAAAAACAGAGACUGAAAGAAGAAAAUGUAAACCUUUAAUUAUAAGUGAUUAGAGAAGGAGUAGAAGAAAGAGUAGCAUGCUAUGGACCUGAGUGUACAUACAUACACAUGCACACACAUGUUCCUAUAUACACACCCAUGCACACAUGCACAUACACAUACACACACAUGUGUGUAUGUAUACACAUAUUUGUUAAUGGAAUCACACAGCUGUGAUGGCCACACACAGUUCACAAAUGUCCCAUCACUCAAAGAAUCCUAGAAUUUGUUGCAAAAAAGAACCCUAGAGAUCAUUAAGGCCAACCUGUUACCUUGUUUUAAAUACAUACAUCACCCUAAAAGUAAAUUUCAGUUUUAGUAAUGAUUUAUUCAUUUAUCAUUAUAUGUAAAAUAAAACAGCAAAAGUUAUUGCCA
ensembl:lncRNA